rnacentral:lncRNA from 1 species
CAGGAUAGUUCUACUUAAUUUUUUCUACRUCUUUUUCUCAAAGUCUCCCCCACCCCCCCACCACCACUGUGUCUGCAUUGUUUCUUACUCUCUGUCAUUGUUCCACCCUUGCUUGUAGGUGUUGGCCAGCAUGCAGAUGAGCAGAGCUGUCAGCUACAAGGUGGUUAGUGCCUCACAGUGGUCAGCAUGAGGAGGAACUGCAUCUCUUGAUUUGCUCUCUGGUGUCUGCUGAUCGAGGUUUGUUGGAGGAUGGGAUAUAUCUGUGACGUCUUUCUGCUAGAAACAUUGGGAACACAUGGCUGUGAGGUCAAUUCUGCCCUGACUGUAAUGAUGGCAGCUGCUUGGAGCUUUAGUUCUCAUUUCCAUCUGGGCCAAACGUGUGUGUCUUGCCAGUAGACUGCAUACGGUGGUGUAGAUGAGUCUUCAGUCCUGAGUGCCUGUGUCUCUGCCAUACAGGUUUGAUGGCUCAGUGAGAGCUUGCUCUGUGUGCGCUGCUGCAGUGCAAACGCAAAAGGCCAUAGCAGGUUGUUUGAAAUCUUCUUUUGGUAAUCCUUGAUAAACAAGUCUGUAUAAUUCUCAACAGUUUAAGUGAGAUUUUAUUUCUGUAUAUGCUUAUUAGCCAUGUGUAUAGUACAUUGAAAAUUAUCAUGUCCAUCAACCUACAUGUACAGUCAGGCCACUAAUUUCACCUUUCUGCAAUCCUAAACCCUCUUAAACGCUGGGUACUUCAAACUGUACUGCAAAAAAUUUCUUACUGCCCUCUUAACUUCUACUGGCAAAGAUUCCACAGCACACWUUAAAGUGUGAAUGCUUUAUAAUGCUUUUCAAGACUUUGAAGAUAGCUGUAUGGUCCUCUGUUUAAUACUCGGCUUUCUUUAAGUAGUUAUUUUGCAGAAGUAAACAUUCAUGGGGGAAAAAUCCAGCCCAAGAAGCUGAGGUAUCUCAUUUAAUGAAAAUGAAGAUUAGAGGCAGAAUUCUUAUUUAUUUAUUUCAGUUUAACUUUUGUAAUUCCACAAAGCUUUAUGGAAGAAAUGUAACGGCGAGAGUGGACAGUAUAAGCAGUUGUGUCUCAUAACUGAGACGUAAGUGGAAAUACUGUUCUAUAUUUUUGUAGGUAACUCAGAGCAGUUUUUUCCCCACCCUUUUCAGUUAUGGCUCUGGGAUAAUUUAAAAUGUUCCUGUGUGGAAAAGGAUGUGCUGAGUGAUGCUGACUGAACUGUUUUAUACUAGUACUUCAUUCAGUUUCCACUGAAGUAAGGGGAAUGGGAGGUGAAUUAAAUAUAGUUCGAUGUUUGCUGAUGGCUAGAAAAU